rnacentral:sRNA from 1 species
GUUAGUUUUGUCAAAAGACGCAGGCAUAAGCUACAGCUUUUGCUUCAUUAUGGACGUACGUAUAAUCUAAGAAACGUGGAAUAACAUGUAACUAGAUGUAAACUAGGGUUAUUAUGCUUCAGUGUAAAUCUACGAAAAGUGGAACUGAGAGGAAUCUAAUAAAGGUCAAACUACGGUAACUAGCACCGCUGAAGAGAUGGUAAUGGACUCAACAAUGAUCUUCAUCCAUUUAACUAUAUAAAAUUCCUACGAUUCGAUAGCUGCUUUCAAAAAUAGGUUAAUUGUGUCAUCAGAGUGCGAUACCAUGGCAACUACUCACACUCCUAUGUUUCUCAUUACAAACUUGUCUGGCAGAAGGAAAUGAGCUUUUACUAAUGCUAGCUCUAAAGCGGGAUUUCUGCCUCUCCAUUCUUGCUUCAAGCAGUUUUUCCAUCAACGUGUCAUUUUCUUUUAUAAGCAAUUUGGAACAAGACUCAGACUUGUCAAAAUCUGGGACAAUCAAUGUAGAUUUCCACUGUUUUACAGGACUAAGUGCGGUGCGGAGAGGUAAAUCUUCCCUGAAAAUACUCUCUGGAUAAACCUUAUCAUUGCCUUCAGAAGACAAGGAACUGUUUCUAACUGCAUGACUUGAAUUCAUUCUCUUUGUCCACAAUAAUGCAUUACUUUCUGGUGGACCUUGUGUUGCCUCACAAACAGUAGAUGUCCCAGGGGUAUUAAAUAGAGCUGUGCUGUCCCCUCCAAUUUCACUUGAUUUCCUCUCAACAAACCAACUCUCAUUUUCAUCACAUGACAGGUUCUUCAUCAUACCUGCUUGCAACUCACGACAGUCUUCAAUGAUUUCCUUGGACUCAACAUGAUUCCUCAUAGAAUUUUACCAACGGAGUCUUCUUCAGC